GUAGGUGAACCUGCGGAGGGAUCAUUACAAGUGACCCCGGUUUACCACCGGGAUGUUCAUAACCCUUUGUUGUCCGACUCUGUUGCCUCCGGGGCGACCCUGCCUUCGGGCGGGGGCUCCGGGUGGACACUUCAAACUCUUGCGUAACUUUGCAGUCUGAGUAAACUUAAUUAAUAAAUUAAAACUUUUAACAACGGAUCUCUUGGUUCUGGCAUCGAUGAAGAACGCAGCGAAAUGCGAUAAGUAAUGUGAAUUGCAGAAUUCAGUGAAUCAUCGAAUCUUUGAACGCACAUUGCGCCCCCUGGUAUUCCGGGGGGCAUGCCUGUUCGAGCGUCAUUUCACCACUCAAGCCUCGCUUGGUAUUGGGCAACGCGGUCCGCCGCGUGCCUCAAAUCGACCGGCUGGGUCUUCUGUCCCCUAAGCGUUGUGGAAACUAUUCGCUAAAGGGUGCUCGGGAGGCUACGCCGUAAAACAACCCCAUUUCUAAGGUUGACCUCGGAUCAGGUAGGGAUACCCGCUGAACUUAAGCAUAUCAAUAAGC
rnacentral:rRNA from 1 species